UACGGAGGGUGCGAGCGUUAAUCGGAAUCACUGGGCGUAAAGCGUCUGUAGGUGGUUCAAUAAGUCAACUGUUAAAUCUUGAGGCUCAACUUCAAAAUCGCAGUCGAAACUAUUAAACUAGAGUAUAGUAGGGGUAAAGGGAAUUUCCAGUGGAGCGGUGAAAUGCGUAGAGAUUGGAAAGAACACCAAUGGCGAAAGCACUUUACUGGGCUAUUACUGACACUGAGAGACGAAAGCUAGGGUAGCAAAUGGG
rnacentral:rRNA from 1 species